CGAAUGUUCGGGGCUAUAGGCGGAGCAUACCGAACGGUACACAGUCCCCCAACCUCAAGCCGAGCAGAGCGACGCGAAAAGGUUUUGUCAGCAGCAAGGCGAAAGAGUGUUGUUAGCGGUGAGGCAAAAGAGUGUUGUCAAUGACAAGACUUUGGCCCAGAGGGUAGGAGGCGCAUGGGUUUCGAAGCGACUCUUGAUGGGAUGACCAUUUUUGAGACGUACAUGUGGCUUGACAUCAAGGUUAAUAUUUCAUGACGUUUUCACUUCCUAUAUUUUUUUAUAAGUAACACUCUUCCAUUCCCAUUUUAUUUUUGCGCCUUACUUACAAAAAAGAAAGACAUCACCCCCUGUGAUAGUUCCUCUUCAUUUCUUCUUCAUUUCUUCUGCAUAAUUGGAUAUCGGGUAUGUGAAAUCCACCUCCUAUAAUGUUUUACCUGGGUUUAUACUAUGUUUGAG
rnacentral:lncRNA from 1 species